UACGGGGGGAGCAAGCGUUGUUCGGAUUUACUGGGCGUAAAGGGCGCGUAGGCGGCCAGCACAAGUCAGUUGUGAAAUCUCCGAGCUUAACUCGGAAAGGUCAACUGAUACUGUGCGGCUAGAGUGCGGAAGGGGCAACUGGAAUUCUUGGUGUAGCGGUGAAAUGCGUAGAUAUCAAGAGGACACCUGCGGCGAAGGCGGGUUGCUGGGCCGACACUGACGCUGAGGCGCGAAAGCCAGGGGAGCGAACGGG
rnacentral:rRNA from 1 species